UUUUGGUAUCAAGUGAUUUAAUGAUCUUCUGCUGAUUGUUUAUUUAGUUCCCUCGGUCUAAAAAAAAAGAAAAGAAAGAAAGAAGAGAAAAGAAAGUCAGCCUUUAUGUCAAGCCUUCAGCGGUGUAACAGACGGCUGGACAUCUCAACAGCCUCAGCCCAGCCUUGGGCUUCUGCUGAGAUGCAAGCAUAAUGACCGGGAAUGUGAUCUGUCCCCAGCCAGAUGGUCAAUAGCUGGAAAUACUACUCCCUCCACGGAACAUUUUCAGUAGAGCCUCUUAAGACACAUGUUUUGGAAUGCAGUCAAAUGCGUGCUGCUGUAUGACCAGCCUAUUCGAUUAUGCCUCCAAAUCCUAUGGAAGUGUAACAACCAUAGAGCAGACAAACACCAACAGCAUCAACAACAGAGAAUCUCAGUCCAGGAGGAUAUGAAACCCUUUGUAAUAAAGAAAGCAACAGCCAUGAACAUUUGUGUACACGUGUCUUUAUGGUAGAAUGAUUUCUAUUCCUUUGAGUACAUACCCAGCAAUGGGAUUGCUGGGUCGAAUGGUUCUGUUUUUAGCUCUUUGAGGAAUAAUUACACUGCUUUCCACAAUGGUUGAACUAACUUACACUCCCACCAACAAUGUAUAAGUGUUCCCUUCUCUCUGCAACCUUGCCAGCAUCUAUUUUUUUCUUUUUUAAACUUUUUUUAUAGUAACCAUUUUGACUUGUGUGAGAUGGUAUCUCAUUAUGGUUUUGAUUCACA
rnacentral:lncRNA from 1 species